CUUCUCUUGGUUGGCACAUUUGGGUAACUGGCAGACUGUAAAACAAAGAAAAGUUAUAAUAUGAUGCAGGAUUUUUGUUUCCUGCAAAAACGACAGUGCUUGCAAGGCCUUAUGUGAUAAAAGACGAAUCACACUUUGUUGACAUGUCAAGUAUACUGUGUUCAGUGAGGCAGAGAGUUGUUGACUUGGCUAAAGGUAAAUUGAACUGUCCGAAAGAAAUUGUUUAACUGAGUUAAGGUUCAGUUAUAUUUACUGCUGUUCUACAAAUUUUCGCGAGAUAAAUCCAGCAAUUUCAAAAGGAAUUCUGGUGAUUUGGGGUAACGUUAUCGCGCGAGGACUAAAGACUUCCACAAGCAGAUUUCGCAACGGCUUCAGGUUGGUCAGGAAAUUUCGUUGCGCUGACCAACAGAACCUGACUUCUUCGUGAGCUGUUCUCCAUAUAUGGCUAUACUAUUAACAAUAGAAAACAUAACUUUUUGCAAGCAACAUUUCUCUACUGUGAUCGCCCUUUA